GACGAACGCUGGCGGCGUGCUUAACACAUGCAAGUCGAACGGAAAGGCCCUGCUUUUGUGUGGUGCUCGCGUGGCGAACGGGUGAGUAACACGUGAGUCACCUUCCCUUUACUUUGUGAUAACUUCAGGAAACUGGUGCUAAUACCUGAUAGGUGCUCCUGCUGCAUGGUGGUGGUCGGACAGUUUCGGCGGUUGGGGAUGGACUCGGGGCUUAUGAGCUUGUUGGUGGGGUAGUGGCAUACCCAGGCUUUGACGGGUAGCCGGCCUGAGAGGGUGACCGGCCACAUUGGGACUGAGAUACGGCCCAGACUCCUACGGGAGGCAGCAGGGGGGAAUAUUGCACAAUGGGCGGAAGCCUGAUGCAGAAACGCCGCGUGCGGGAUGAAGGCCUUCGGGUUGUAAACCGCUUUAGCCUGUGACGAAGCGGGAGUGACGGUAAUGGGUAAAGAAGCACCGGCUAACUACGUG
rnacentral:rRNA from 1 species